CAAAGUCCAGCAUUACUGAUGAGGUUGCAUGAGAUGGACAGAGUGCAGUUUGCAGGUCUUUCAGGUGAGUACAAAUGGAGUUUCUUCCUUGGGCUCAGGCUUGUCUCAUCUGGAGUUGCAUCUCUCAGCAAAGCUCCAAACCAGAGAGGCUCAUGUCAGAACUUCAGAGAUGAUCAAACACAGAGCAGUGGGAAAUCCUGCCUCAAAACCUGGAAAAUGCAAGACUGCAUUUGUAUACUUCAUGUUCACUUGUAUUCAAUAAACCAAAUAACCUUGGCUGCAAGGAUUUGGAAAGAGCAAAGAGUCUACAGUGAGCUUUGUUAUACAUUCCAAUAAAAGCCAAAGGGCUAGACUGAGAUUAGGAAAACUUGACUCAGG
rnacentral:lncRNA from 1 species